GCCUUUCGGGGUGGAUUAGUGGCGAACGGGUGAGUAACACGUGGGCAAUCUGCCCUGCACUCUGGGACAAGCCCUGGAAACGGGGUCUAAUACCGGAUACGACACAUCACUGCAUGGUGAAUGUGUGGAAAGCUCCGGCGGUGCAGGAUGAGCCCGCGGCCUAUCAGCUUGUUGGUGGGGUAAUGGCCUACCAAGGCGACGACGGGUAGCCGGCCUGAGAGGGCGACCGGCCACACUGGGACUGAGACACGGCCCAGACUCCUACGGGAGGCAGCAGUGGGGAAUAUUGCACAAUGGGCGAAAGCCUGAUGCAGCGACGCCGCGUGAGGGAUGACGGCCUUCGGGUUGUAAACCUCUUUCAGCAGGGAAGAAGCGAAAGUGACGGUACCUGCAGAAGAAGCACCGGCUAACUACGUGCCAGCAGCCGCGGUAAUACGUAGGGUGCGAGCGUUGUCCGGAAUUAUUGGGCGUAAAGAGCUCGUAGGCGGCUUGUCACGUCGGAUGUGAAAGCCCGGGGCUUAACCCCGGGUCUGCAUUCGAUACGGGCAGGCUAGAGUUCGGUAGGGGAGAUCGGAAUUCCUGGUGUAGCGGUGAAAUGCGCAGAUAUCAGGAGGAACACCGGUGGCGAAGGCGGAUCUCUGGGCCGAUACUGACGCUGAGGAGCGAAAGCGUGGGGAGCGAACAGGAUUAGAUACCCUGGUA
rnacentral:rRNA from 1 species